CUCCGCUUCUCCGCCGAGCCGCAGACGGGAUGACUGUCCAUGCCGUUCGCCAAACCUGAAACGACAGGCAGCGACAAGGAGAAAAAGAGCUAUCUGCUCGGGCAAUUGGCUGGUUAACAGCGGCGGCUCGGCGGACCAAUCAGAGCGCAGCAGCAGAGGAGCUGUCUGCUAUUAGAGGCACGGCUCAGGAGUCCUUCAACAGAGAGCAGAGAGAGGGGGCCGAGCGCUCUCGGCAGCCAUUUUCCUAAAAACAGGACUCAAUGGCCUAUAUGGGUUUCCUUUGUUCCAAAAGGGAUCUUACACUUGAUUUCCUCAUCUCUCAUGGACUAUGAUAAAACUAUGAUUCCUCCUUUUAAAGGAUUGAGAAGAAGGAAGAGAAUGUACUGGAUGUAAUACCCUGUGACAUUUUGAGCCUUUUUUCCUCUGCCUGGAAUCCAUCUUUGUCUUAACUAGGUCAUGGCACACCCAUAUAAUAGUAUUUAUAUUUCUUAAGUGAAAAGAAACCAAAUGUUGUGAAUAAACAGCUUUAUGGUUUUGGAGAUGUUAAAUUAGAGAAAAAAAAACACAGUGAAAGUGACAAAAUGUGUAAUGCCUGAUUGUUGGUAUUGCACUUAUGGCCUUGUAGGAUAUGAGUAGCAAUGACAACGCUUAACGCCCUGAUGACUUGUGUUGUGCCCUACCUACAACUUGGGGGAGACGACUUCAAGCACGAUUAGGUUUGUGCUUGCCAUUUGGCAUUUAAGAACCGA